CGGUAAAACAAGUGUUUUAUCUUGAUGACCUUGCUAAGGGUGACGCGUGGAAAGUAGUCAACAUUGUGCACCCUCGAAACAUUUACCGAGCGGCUACACUUGGAGAGGCCGAAGACGAGGAAGAGGAUGUUGCGUAUCAAGAGCCCAACGCAAUAGGUAUUCCUAACUCCUCUACCGUUCGCCUUAAUAAUUUUAAAGCGGGUCGUUCGGUGCGAAUUCGUGAUGAAGAGCCAAGGCUUAUUGAUGUUGAUCCAAAUCAAGAAACAGACGAAGACUCUGGCGAUGAGGAAAAACAUAUAUUACCAGAAAUUAAUUCUGACACCGCAGAAGACUCAUCAGAUGAUUCCGAUUACGAGCCUUAGUUUUAAUUUAGAGGACGUAAUCCAUUAAUUUGUAUAACUAAAGACUUUUUCCUUUAUACUUUACAUAUGUUGAAUUCAUAUUUCAGUUAUUUUAUAUGAAUUUUGGUGAUAUAUGACGAACAGGAAGUUAGUAUGGUUUACUAAUAUCGUCUGUUUUUUUUGUAUUUUUUUCCUUAAGCCGACGAAGUACACCAUAAUUCGUCGGCUAAAACCAUCUUAGCCGACGAAUUAUAGUGUAUUUCGUCGACUAAACCCAUCUUAGCCGACGAAAUAUACUAUAUUUCGUCGGCUAAUACGGUUUUAACCGACGAAUAACCUAAUAUUUCGUCGGCUUUAGUUAUUUUUUAAUUUUUUAAUUACAUAGCCGACGAAUACGUUAGGGUAUUCGUCGGCUAAACCCUAAAAUUUUUCUAUUACCUACCAUAGCCCUAUCUUCGGUGGUUAUUUUCCGUAAAAUUUUUAGACGACUUCUUGCGUCUCAUCGGUUUGAAACUAUUUUCAGUUAGAGGUCCGGCCAAAAUACGUAAUUUAGACGGUCGAACAACCUUUUCCGUGCGUUUAGGGGUUUGACUUACAAGAUUGACCGUCCGGAUCGAGCCCUUAUUCUUUUCGGAUCAAGUUGAAUUUUUUCCCAUACAUGUAUUUUGUCAAGAUGGUCAGAUCUGACGGUCGGAUUUCUGUUUCUCAAGUUUGAUCAUCACAAUCACAACAUGCAUACUAAUGUUGUAUAACUUGUUUACCAAGUAUUAUGUAAAUGUUCCGUUUCAAAAACAAACUAUACGUAAAACCUUCAAACGCAAAAAAGUCAUGAAAUAAGAUAUGACGAGAAUGUUGAAAUACAUCCACGGUUGAAAAAUCACACUAUUCCGGUAAAUAUUCGGUGCCGAUAGUUGCGGUCAAUACAAUUUUUCAUUCUUUCCCCCUAUGAGUAGCCCUAUAUUCGGUGGUUAUUUUGCGUAAAAUUUUUAUACGACUUGUUGCGUGUCAUUGAUUUAAAACUAUUUUCAGUUGAAGGUCCGGCCAAAAUACGUAAUUUAGACGGUCGAACGACCUUUUCCGUGCGUUUAGGGGUUUGACUUAGGAGAUUGACCGUCCGGAUCGAGCCCUUAUUCUUGUCGGAUCAAGUUGAAUUUUUGGUCAUACAUGUAUUUUGUCAUGGUGGUCAGAUCUGACGGUCAGAUUUCUUUUUCUCAAGUUUGAUCAUCACAAUCACAAUGUGCCAAAUGUAUAAAAUACUUUAGCCGACGAAUUUCAAAGGUUUAGCCGACGAAUUUCAAAGUUUUAGCCGACGAAUUGAUUCUUAGCCGGCGAGAUUCUUAGCUUUAGCCGACGAAAUAAUUAUUUCGUCGGCUAAAGUUUACGGGUUUAACUGCUCGACAGCAGAAAAANNNNN
rnacentral:lncRNA from 1 species